UACGUAGGGGGCAAGCGUUGUCCGGAAUCAUUGGGCGUAAAGCGCGUGUAGGCGGCUUGGUAAGUCUGCUCUGAAAGCCCGGGGCUCAACCCCGGGAGGCGGGUGGAUACUGUCAAGCUCGAGUCCGGAAGAGGAGUGUGGAAUUCCUGGUGUAGCGGUGAAAUGCGCAGAUAUCAGGAGGAACACCGGUGGCGAAGGCGGCCCCCUGGGCCGUACCUGACGCUGAGGCGCGAAGGCUAGGGGAGCGAACGGG
rnacentral:rRNA from 1 species